rnacentral:rRNA from 1 species
UACGGGGGGGGCAAGCGUUAUUCGGAUUCACUGGGCGUAAAGGGUGCGCAGGCGGCCAAGUGGGUGAGGCGUGAAAGCCCGGGGCUUAACUCCGGAAUUGCACCUCAAACUACAUGGCUAGAGCAUUGGAGAGGGUAGCAGAAUUCACGGUGUAGCAGUGAAAUGCGUAGAUAUCGUGAGGAAUACCAGAGGCGAAGGCGGCUACCUGGACAAUUGCCGACGCUCAGGCACGAAAGCGUGGGGAGCAAAAGGG